CAGGUCUUGACAUCCUCUGACAACCCUAGAGAUAGGGCUUUCCCCUUCGGGGGACAGAGUGACAGGUGGUGCAUGGUUGUCGUCAGCUCGUGUCGUGAGAUGUUGGGUUAAGUCCCGCAACGAGCGCAACCCUUGAUCUUAGUUGCCAGCAUUCAGUUGGGCACUCUAAGAUGACUGCCGGUGACAAACCGGAGGAAGGUGGGGAUGACGUCAAAUCAUCAUGCCCCUUAUGACCUGGGCUACACACGUGCUACAAUGGACGGUACAAAGGGCAGCAAGACCGCGAGGUUUAGCCAAUCCCAUAAAACCGUUCUCAGUUCGGAUUGUAGGCUGCAACUCGCCUACAUGAAGCUGGAAUCGCUAGUAAUCGCGGAUCAGCAUGCCGCGGUGAAUACGUUCCC
rnacentral:rRNA from 2 species